UACGAAGGGGCUAGCGUUGCUCGGAAUCACUGGGCGUAAAGCGCACGUAGGCGGACUCUUAAGUCGGUGGUGAAAUCCUGGAGCUCAACUCCAGAACUGCCUUCGAUACUGUUAGUCUUGAGUCCGGGAGAGGUGAGUGGAAUUCCUAGUGUAGAGGUGAAAUUCGUAGAUAUUAGGAAGAACACCAGUGGCGAAGGCGGCUCACUGGCCCGGUACUGACGCUCAUGUGCGAAAGCGUGGGGAGCAAACAGGG
rnacentral:rRNA from 1 species